rnacentral:lncRNA from 1 species
AUGCUUCCUGCACACCCAGGAGGACGCUGGAGCCCAUACUGGAGAACAAACCCCUGGGGAAAGGGCAGCGUUGUGCUGUGGGACACAGAGCAGGCCGUAUGUUUCGUGAAUUCCUGCACGCCAGGUCCUGCAACACGCAUUCCAGAUCUGCUGGCCUCUUCAGAGUCAACAAAUCGGAGUGGUUUUGCUUCCUGCUCACAAACAAGCCAUGAAAUGACCUUGAUUUUUCCAAUGUCUGCGUGGCUGGGCAUUUGCUAGACUCUUUCUAUGCCGCUGCGUUGCAGCCUGGGGAUGGUUUGCAAUCCCGCCUGUUACUGAUGCUUCGCUAUUUGGAGAGCGUGGCUGCUGCAGCCACGAGGCACUGCUUCUUGCUCUGCAGCAGAUGGGUGAAACGCAGCGACACACACGGGCACGUGACAAAUGUCCUCAAGCAGCACGAGGAGCAGGAUCAGCAGGCACCACGAGCUGGAUGUGCCAGCACCACCGCGGCGGGCUGAGCCAGCUGUGCGUCCUCAGCAUCUCCCCAGAACGUUUGGACAUUCAUCUGGUCCUUCUGUGGGUUCAAGAGGAGCAGGCGUGGGACUGUCUGGCAGGGUUUCUAUGCUGCCAGGAUGAGUGAGAGCCCCUGAGGAGCUCCGGGACAGGCAGCACAAGCAGGCUGGCUCCUGGAAAUCUUUGCUCAUCCUCUCUCUGGCAUCUGAGGUGCUCACCUCUUGGGGAACUGCAGCAGCAGGGGACCACGGUGGCUCGCACGCAGCACAGCAGGACACACACGGGGCUGGUGACAAGGACGGCUGCCAGCCCCGGAGGAAAUCACCUGCCAGCCCCCCCCAGUUACAUCCCGUUUUAUUGCAGGGCAAUAGAGGAGGGAGCGGGACAAUAGCGCUCCGCAGCAAUGCGCCAGGACACCCUAACAUCCCUGCAGCGAGCAUCCAUGCCCACCCUCUGCUGGCAUUUCUCCACCGGGUUUAUCACCUUAUCAGCCACUUGAAUACACCUUUUUUAUGGCGUGAGCCUUUCAGUGGACCUUCUGAAAGACAAUGAUGGGCCUUUGAAGGUCUGGCCGAUCCUGUUUCCUGUAUGCUCCUGAGCCUUGUAUACAUUUAAAUUCGACUUGUUAACUUUAUAAGGAUACUUCAGCCUCGUAUUGUACUGAAAUUGGCUGGGAUCUCAGUAUCUCCCUUAUUCCCACGUACUUUUUCUUAGAAUUGCUUUGUAGUCACGUUAUUGCUGUUGGGAGGCUCGCCUUUAACAGCCUCCAAUAAAGAUAUGAGCCUGCGAGAGGGCA